GAUGGAGGGGGAUAACUACUGGAAACGGUGGCUAAUACCGCAUAACGUCGCAAGACCAAAGAGGGGGACCUUCGGGCCUCUUGCCAUCAGAUGUGCCCAGAUGGGAUUAGCUUGUUGGUGAGGUAACGGCUCACCAAGGCGACGAUCCCUAGCUGGUCUGAGAGGAUGACCAGCCACACUGGAACUGAGACACGGUCCAGACUCCUACGGGAGGCAGCAGUGGGGAAUAUUGCACAAUGGGCGCAAGCCUGAUGCAGCCAUGCCGCGUGUAUGAAGAAGGCCUUCGGGUUGUAAAGUACUUUCAGCGGGGAGGAAGGUGUUGCGGUUAAUAACCGCAGCAAUUGACGUUACCCGCAGAAGAAGCACCGGCUAACUCCGUGCCAGCAGCCGCGGUAAUACGGAGGGUGCAAGCGUUAAUCGG
rnacentral:rRNA from 1 species